UACGUAGGGGGCAAGCGUUGUCCGGAAUCAUUGGGCGUAAAGAGCGUGUAGGCGGCCUGGUAAGUCCGCUGUGAAAGUCCAGGGCUCAACCCUGGAAUGCCGGUGGAAACUGUCAGGCUCGAGUCCGGAAGAGGCGAGUGGAAUUCCUGGUGUAGCGGUGAAAUGCGCAGAUAUCAGGAGGAACACCAACGGCGAAGGCAGCUCGCUGGCCCGGUACUGACGCUGAGGUGCGAAAGCGUGGGGAGCAAACAGG
rnacentral:rRNA from 1 species